CCAUCGUAAAAUCAAUUGCAAUAUGGAAAGUAGCUCAACUAUUUAUAAGCACACGCAAGAUCCAUCAUCUCAUCAAUAUAGGAUUCAACAUGCUUCGUUUUGUAUGGCAAUUUUCAAGCUUAACACGUGGACAACACAACUUGAGUGAAAUGGAACAUGUGCGGUUGUUGGGCUUCACACAUUGGACAACCUGCUCUAAUAUCAUGAAGAAAUUGAUGUUCCACUAUAAGACCAAUUAGUAAUAUAGAGAUUAGCUCAACUUAUAAGCAUAUGCAUAAAACCAAUUAGUAAUAUGGAAAGUAGUUCAAUUACAAGCCUAUAAGACCACAACAUAUAAGAAAAAUGAAAAUUCUAUUUUAUUGAAAUUAAAAUUCGUUAUAUCUUUAUAAAAAAUUUAAUGGUAAUAUAUCCCAAAAUAUAGAAUAUUUAGAAUAUUCUAAAAAAUCCGGCCAGAGUGUUCAUCGUUGUUUGCAUUUGAAGACUAGUUAGUCAUUAUCUCAAGGCUGCAGGUAUGUGAAAAGCAUUUGAAAGAGAAAGGAGGUAGCACGCGGCAGGUGUAGCUGGAGUUAGCAAGUUCUCAAAAUAACCUGGAUUGGUGAAAGUUCAGCAAAUUGAUCUUAUUGUAAGUUGUCCUUUCUUAAAGAUGAGGUUAAGACGUACAGAACGGACCUGGCUUCUUUGGGCUUUGGCCUAUUUUCCUAUCACUGGUCUUGAUCCAAGUGAUUUUCAGAACAAGAAGAAAGAAAAAAGGCUCAAUGGAGGAAGGGACUUGUAAUAUGUUAGGUCCUGUACUAGUCCAAGAUUUAAGGGAUGAUUGUCACGCUUUGAAUUCGGGAUCGGUGUUCCGACGGUCAAGUUAAUAAACAAUAUUAUGAGAUUUAAGUAGUAGGCAAAAGAAUAAGUAUGCGAUAAUUGUGUUACCAGAAAUAAAUCCUAUAGGAGUAUAUAUACCAGUCGAGAUAAAGUCUUUUUAGGAUAUAGAAUCCGUAUUAAACCGUGAGAAUUCCAGAGAAUAUUUAGGAGUAGAUAUUGCAUCCUCUCAGAAGUGUGAUUCUUGCAGGUCAUGCUAAUUUCUAGAUUGUAGGAACUCUAGGAAACCCGGUUGAUUCCAUAAUGGAUCAGGUCUCCGUAUUUUACGGAACAAGUAUGGUCAAUCUCAACGAAGUCGGCAGACUUGGCCCAUUGGGCUGGAACAUGGUGAAGGUGGCAUUACUGAUCCGUCUCUGCAGCCUGUGAUAGAAGUUGUUAAGUCCAUGAUAUGACUUCUGAAGUAUUCGUAUUCUGAUUUGCCUAACUCUGACCUUGGAAAAUCAUGGUCCACAAAUCACAGUUAGAGAAACUAUUGGAGAUGUUAAAAAAAGGGAUUUCUCAAGACAAAUUCUCUGCCCAAAGGCUUCACAGAAGGUGCAAUUCAACACAACUUUUGUUUCCUAGAGAGUUAUGCAAAAAGAAGAUGUGAGAAAUAGCAGGGCCCUUCGUAGACACCUUAAGGGUGAGUUUGUUUCACCGGACUAUUUUGGAUUUGACUAGCUUCAGAGACUAAGCUAGAUUGACUUAAAAUUGACUAAGCUGGACCAACUUAGUGAAAUGUUUAGUGUAGUUUCAGACUAAAAGUAAUAAUAAAAAUUCUUUUUUUUCUUUUUUUUUUUUACAAAAACAAAGAACUCUCUCUGUCUCUCCCUUUUCUUGGUCAAACUAUCUCUCAUCCUUUUUCUCCAUCUCUUCCAUUUUCCUUUCCCAUCCAACUCCUUCUUCCCUACUCUCUCACCCUCUUCACUUCUUCUCACAACUUCAUAAUCAAUUGCAUAUCUUCAAAAUCAAACCACAGAGCAAAAAAUAAAGUGAAAAUUAAGGAGUUGGGGUCGGGUGCAUGUGUAAUUGGUUCGAAGGUGAAAGAUAGGAAAUGUCUACGAUUAGAGAUUUUUAUGUUCUUUGGGUUUGGUUUGCGCUUAACAUCAAUCCCAUCAUUGAUUCAAGCUCAUCCCAAAAUUUUUUUUUGGGUUUUCUAAGUUUUUUGGGUUCAAUUUUUUCUGGGUUUUCUAGUUAGGGAAAGCGGGGAAGAAGGAGAUGGGAGGGGCAAAGCAGAGUAGAGGUAGCAAAAGACCCAUCUUUGUCAUCGUUCAAGUCGACUUGGAUAUCAAAAGAUCCCAAAUCACCAACCCAGAUGCCAAAAAGGCAUUGGGUUUGCAGGAUAAUGGAGAUCGACGACAACCGUUUCUAGUUUGGUCACCGGAGAAAGGGGACUGAUGCUGCUCAUGUGGGUUUGCGAGAUGCUGCUUGCAGACGAGGGAGACGGGACUAGCAAUCCUAUUGUUUUUGGGGGCCUCGCUAAGACCUCCUAGUGAGGGAUUUAGUUGAGGCGAGUCAUCCUUUGUCCCAUUAAACUUAGUCCCACCAGUGAACAAACACGGAUUGCACUAACUUUUAAUCUAAGCCAAUCCAGUGAGAGCUAAAGAAGGCAAACAAACACCCCCUAACAAGUAUUUACUUUCCACAAUUCACAACAACUUGAAUCAAAGAUGACAAUAGUUAAACUAACUUCAGUAUUUGUCCACUACAUCACUUAAAACUCGUGACAUCAUCACUUAAUGUUGAUAACAUCAUCACUUAACAUCAAGAUUUUAAAAGACGCUAGGUGCUAGUCGGGAGACGAGUUGGGGCCUAGCGCCUAGGCGGAGCAUAGACGGAUUUAAGUAAAUCAAUUUUUUUAUUUCGUGUAAAUAAGUGUCACGCCCCGAUCCCGACAUACGUCCAUGAUCAACACGUGACGUCACCAAAUACUCUUAUAUCUCACAUACCCCAUCUCCGGGAUAUGACAAAUCACAACUCGAGAAUCAAAUUACAAAGUAAUUUUUCGUUUACUUUAUGGCUGCAUCUAACCUCCUCGUUAGACUACCUACAAACCCUUAAUAAGGAUCAAGCCAUUCGUAGUUCACUUAUCACAAAAUCAGAUGUUUAUUCCAUUAAGUUCAAGCAGAAAAGCAUAACAUUCCUCAAUCAUUUAUUAUAACCUGACAACAUGUAAUUCCUGGACUCAGGCUACAUAACCAACCCCCAUGAAAACAUGAUUUCUCUCCCAUCCAACAUAUAAAUCAUUAUGUCUCAUCAUGAUAUCGCAAUUUACAACAUACAUCAUAUUUAAGAACCGACAACAAGUAAUAACAAUUAUUUCCAUAUCUUCUAAAUUCCUACCUUAUGAAAUCAUAAUCGAAUCGUAGAAAAUCCCGAAAGAGUAACUGAGACAUCCAACAUCUUUUCUAACUCAAUUCACAAGAUUCUCGAAGCCAUUGACACAAAUAUAUAUAAAACUAAGGCUAGAGUGACACAGUUAGGCCAAACCUACUUCUCCAAAUAAUGGGAUUUUAGACUACUCCACGAAAUUCAACAACCUCAAGUUCCGAACCACUCAACGGAACCAAACUAAAUAUGAUUGCCUAUCAAAUGUACCAAGUACAACUAAUCAUCAUCACCUCUAGAAUGCGUAUGGUCCCUCAUCACGGAUAUACCAAGCAGAACCAUAGGCAUAAUCUCAUCGUGCAGACAGUGAUCACCCAUCGCGGAUAUACCAAGCAUGAUCACUCCUGAAUACAUUUGGGCCCCUAUCGCAGAUAUACCAAGCAGGACCACAGCCUAGCUCUAGGUAGUGACCACCCAUUGCGGAUAUACUAAGCGUGAUCACUCCUAGCAUGCACAUGGUUCCCCAUCGUGAAUAUACCAAACAUGAUCACCCAUCACGGAUAUACCAAGCAUGAUUACCCAUAACAGUUCCCCAUCGCGAAUAUACCAAGCAGAACUGUAUCAUAUAGCUUUAGGUAGUGAUCACUCAUCGCAGAUAUACCAAGCAUGAUCACUCCUAGUAUGUGUAUGGUCUCCUCUCCCGAAUAUACCAAGCAGGACCAUCCAUGUACCACUACUACAUGGUGCAAUCUCAUCAUCACAAAUUAUACAUAUCACACACAUUCCUUAUGUCUAGAUCCCCAACAAAAGCAAUCCAAUGUCACCCACAUAGCACAUAAUACAUACUAGAGGUAUCACUAUAAUGUCCACAUCAACCACUCAUUAUAUCUGUGUCUCCAACAACAUUUGUAGUAAUAAGUAGAUGGACUUAUGAGCCUAAGGAAUAACAUACAUUUUUGGGUUGAAAGAUAAAAAGAAGUUCAAGAAAAAAUCUAGGACCAAAAGUAUACAAGGUCAGAAUCAAUGUAUAACCUAACCUAUAUAAAAAGGUAGAAUAAUUUGUGCAGUCAACAAUGAAGGUCUAUCUUUAAAUUAUCAUCCUAAAAAUGCUGCUAGUUAUGUUUGUAUGUAGUGUUUUCUUUGCUGGAAACUUCAAUUACUAAGAAAAUUUCCAAUCAUUGUUUAAACAUACAAGUGUAAGCUCAACUGUUGGCACUGCGAAAUCUUGGCCAUCGUUUGGAUAGAAAUAAACUACAGAGUUUCUCAAGAAUAAUAAGGAUGAGAUGGAUUUCUUCAGGAUAUCAACUUCCUAGAUGUGUUUAUAGAUAUACUGUCAAAGCAAUUCGGAACAUGCCCGCGGUUUGGUUUCUCGAUGGGUGGGGUUAUAAUUUUCACUGUAACUGUUCUAAAGUAAGUUAGUUGGACUCCUUUUCUUUUCGAUGGACAACUUUUCCUUUCCUUUGAGAAAUUCGGAAAUUAGCCUUGCUUUACCGAAUUUUUCCCAACUCUUAGAAAUAUAACCCAAACUUAGAUGAAAAAGACUUAAAUCCCCCAACAUAAUCCCUCACCAACUUUGCUACUCUAUACCUUUUCAUCUCCAACAUAACCUUGUUUUAAUAUGGUAUCACUUCUAAUCCUCUAUAUCUUUCCACUUAUUUCUCCAACUACCAUCAUAUGACUUGAGAGAUCUAUUAUGAGAAAGCCAUUUGCCUGUCAAAGUUGAAAUCAUAGAUACACAAAUGGUGAAACUAGAAGCAUGACCCAUGUUCCAAAUUCAACUGAUCAUUCUCCUGCACCAACAUGGUAUGUGUUCUAUUGCUUUCAAACCAAGUGAACUGAAAGCAUGAAACUCACAUUUCUAGUUAUGACUUUACGUACCCAAGUAUUACUAUAAAAUAUAUAAAUAUAUGGUUGGUUUUGUAAUUGCAAGCAAUAAUCUUGUCAUUCAAAGUGUAGACAUAUUGGGCUAAAAGAAUCACUCAGUCAAUUUUUCUUAACACCUUAGUCAUCCAUGCACACAUCCAGAUCAUGUGUAUGAUUUACAAAAAUCUUUAGGCAACAAUAACUGAAAGAGGAGCAUACCUUGUCAAUUGUUACACUUCUUGUGAUCCAUAUCCAAUCUUGUCAAUAGUUCCAUUGCUUGUGAUCCAUAUCCAAUCUGGGUCGAAGUGCAAUUUGGCCGAGAAAAGCCCCAAAUUCACUCAAACCAGCCAUAAACCUUAAGAUGGGUGUUCUUUGAUUCGAUUUCCUCGAUGUUCCAACGCUCCUACAACUGAUUGGAUCUUGUUCCUGGAUCCAAGGGAAGUUGAUUAAGGGUGGUGGUGGGUGGUGAAACUUGCCGGAACGGCCGAAUCGCCCUCGAACACCUCUGGUCACCCACACAGGUUUUUACACGGUUUUUGGGCUUAAAAAUCACCAAAUUUGGGUGGAGAUGGUAGAGGGGAGGUUGUGGAAGAGGUUGUAGGUGUUGGUGGUCAUUCAACGAAAAAAAUGGUGGAAUCACUGGUAAUAUAACCGUGUUAGUGUGCGG
rnacentral:lncRNA from 1 species